UAGGUACUGCGUUUAUUUGUCGCUGCAUUAGAGUUAGAGUUGAGAUAAAUGCUGAUUUCUUCAAUUGUAAGUUUUCAUGAACCUUUCUAAUUACAAUUUUACAUCUUCUCUUUCCCCUACCAAAUAGGAGUAUUAUUUUUGCAAUAUUAAACUUGCUGUGCCUUCUCAGGAUAACAAGUUUCUAUAAUAUUUUUACAAUAGUGGACUUGCUAUGCCUUCUCAUGAUAACAUAUUUCUCCGAAUAUAAAAAUUAUGAGCUUUUAUGAUCCUUCUCAAUUCUAACUUUAUCUUACAAUGUUGGAAUUGCUUUGUAUUUUCAGGAUUAACGUGUUUCUCUAUAUAUAUACUCAAUUGCUAAAUCUGAACAAGAUACAUUCAGAUCGAAAGAGAAAAACACUCUCUUUUGAGGCUAAGGACCGAGAUGAUGGCAAUCAAUUUCGGGAGAAGAAAUGCCACUGCUAAAAAGUUUUUAGUUACAAUUAUCUCAUGAAUCAAUAUUACGAUUGUAAUUAGCCUCUUUCUAUUAAUAAUAUAUUGGAUAUCAGCAAAUAGAUUUUUUGAGAGAUUUGAGGAAAUAGUAGAAAUUGGAAUUUCGUCCGUGGGAUAAACAGUUACUAGAGCAUCUAUGAAAUCUUAAAAUUGCUAUGCCCUUUUUGCCUCUGUUUCAUCUAUUUGCUUCUCCUAUUCAA
rnacentral:lncRNA from 1 species